UACGAAGGGUGCAAGCGUUACUCGGAAUUACUGGGCGUAAAGCGUGCGUAGGUGGUGCGUUAAGUCUGUCGUGAAAGCCCCCGGGCUCAACCUGGGAAUGGCGAUGGAUACUGGCGCGCUAGAGUGCGGUAGAGGAGAGUGGAACUUCCCGGUGUAGCAGUGAAAUGCGUAGAGAUCGGGAGGAACAUCAGUUGCGAAGGCGGCUCUCUGGACCAGCACUGACACUGAGGCACGAAAGCGUGGGGAGCAAACAGG
rnacentral:rRNA from 1 species